GUCGCUCAGCCGCACUGUUAUUGUCAGAGCGCAAAGGAUUGUGGGAAGGGGGUUUUCAUACAAAGCAACGUGAGCAUUACGUUUAACGGACUUUUGCAGGAAGAUAAGUUGGUGUUGGACGUGUGGUUAGAGCGCCGAUAUUUUACGGACUAUUAGUUGUUUUUUUGCAAUUAUAUUAAUUGGUAUAAGUUUAGUUUGUUAGAAGAGGUUACUCCUGACUUUGUUUUGUAUAAACUUCUUAGUGUUUGGAAGAUUUUUUUUAACGUAGACGAAAACAGUCAACUAACUCAGUAGAGUCAACAUUUUUUCCCAGUUUUUGGUCAGAAAUGUGCAGAGGAACGAUGGCUGCCAGGUCGAAACACAUUAACAGCCACUAUCUGAGGAGAACCGCGAUGAAACCCGGCUGUGAGUUGAGAUGGAGACUCGUUCGCGUGUCCGCUGAGGAGGACGAGGCUCUGAAGCAGAGUCGAGCCACCGCCAGAAGAUGCCUCCGCCUGGAACAGAGGCGGCUACAGCUAGCUAACCUGGCUAAAAUGCUGGCAGACGUGGGCAGAAAGGAAGAAAUUGAGGCAGUGGAGGAGGAAAACCACGGCGAGGCCUAUGUGCACCGUCAUCCAGCGGGGUCAAUGGCGCCGCGGAACACAACGCAGUACCUGAUGAGUAACGUGUACGAAGACAUGAAGGCAGAUGUUGAAUCACCUUCACAUGAAACAUCCGCACAUUUAUAUGACGAGUCUCUUUCACCCAGCAGUGUUUGUGCAGCUCUGGACGCAGACUGUGAGAGCUGCAUGGAUUUCCAGCUGAGGGACUUUGAGGAAGUGUUCGCACUGACUUGCUGACUGGCAUAAACUGGUCUACGUGGCCUACGUGACAAACUGGUGCUUCUCCUUCCCCAGCUGUGACUGUUCGAUAAGGGCGAAGGAAAAAGCGGUGCCUCGAUGCGCUGCCCGCCCGGUAGGGGGCGCUCCUGAGUCCGGAGGAACCGCCUCAGCUCCGGCCUGCACACGGAUUGUGAAAUCCAGGUAAAGCCCGGGCAGGUAUCUUGUUGCUCUGAGUUGUCAUUGAUGGCACUAGUCGAUUGUGAUGAAUCAAAGUGCUUUCCGCAGUCACUGUUGUCUCAGCGUUUUCCAGGUGACCCUGCCAGGACACACAGCUCGGCUGGGGGAGCAGCAGAGCAAAGGCGGUUGGUCUUCACCUGGCUGAUACAAGGUGACAUGAAUGCCACAUUAGUGAUUCUGACUGUUCAUGAGGUUAAAUAAGUAUUUUUGUUUGUUCCUGGUAAAGUGUUUUUGUAAUUUAAUGUUAAACUGAGUGAAAUUGUAUUUGAUUGAGAAGAUGAUUGAUGCAGAUUUGAAUUUAAAGAAUGUCUUUGUUCAAUAAAUGCACCUUGUUAUAUCGGAAA